ensembl:lncRNA
CAUCACUUGAGUCAAUGACUGGACUAACUUUCACAUGGGUCGACAGUUAACGUUUAAUGGAAUUACUGAAUGGAGAUCAAUGCUGUUUUCUUGUUAGCACAACUGUUAAGUAGAAGAUGUAACUUUUUUUUUACACUUGCGGUUCCAGUUAUUGCCUACUUUUUAUUUGUAUUAUUAUCAUUAAAAUGAAUGUUCGAUAUGAACACAGACAGAUCUGACAUUGAUAAUGGUCAGCAUCAGGAAUGUCCAGGAAAUGGCCAAUUGUGAUGUUCAAGAGCGAAGGGGGGUAUAAGAAUGGACAGGAAGUAAUUUGGCGAGGAAUUACUUUCUGUAAAAGCAGACGACUAAUGGCCUCAAGACAACAGUUGCAGCUGAGUCUCCUAUGAGAGUCUUGGAGCUGGAUGCCGUUGCAAUUCAGCACGUUUAUAUUUACAUUGAUGAGGCUGGCUUCAACCUAGCCAAAAGAAGGGGACGCAACAUUCAUAAUGGCCAAUAAUGUUCCUGGACAGUGUUGAGGGAAUAUCACCAUGUGCGCAGCCGUUAGCCAGCAAGGUGUCCUCCAUCACCAUGCCAACCUUGGUCCCUACAACAACCCCCCCCUUCUCAUCACAUUCCUGGACACACUACAUGGCAUCCUCAUUUCAGCGGAGCAGAGGGGUGGACCAGAGCAGCCCAGGUAUGUUGUCAUCUGAGACAACGUGAGUUUCCACCGGGCUGUUCUGGUCCGCAACUGGUUCAUUGACCACCCACAAUUUAUUGUUCUAUACCUCCCACCAUAUUCCCCAUUCCUAAAGCCAACUGAAGAGUUUUUCGGCAUGGCGACGGAAGGUGCAUGACCUCCAUCCCCUCGCACGCAUGCCUCUUUUCCAGGCAAUAGAGGAUGCAUGUGGUGAAGUUCCUGGGGGGCUUUCAGCGGCUGGAUCCGUCACUCCAGAAGAUUCUUUCCCCGCUGUUUAGCCAGGGAGAACAUUGGCUUGUGAUGUAGAUGAGGUGCUGUGGCUAGACCAAAAUAGGAGGCAGGAUGCAGCCUAAUGCAUUUUUUCCUUACAUUUUGCAUGUAUUUUUGUCUUUAGAGUUUUGAAAGAAACAGCCAGUCCUUUUUGUUGUACAGAAAACCCUUUAUUUUACUGAAUGCUUUUCCUGGAUUUCUGCUGUUGAGUAUGGAAAGUGUUACAUACAAAACACAAGUAUUCAAAAAUACUGCAUUUUAAUGACAAUGUUUUUGUUACUGUAUUGCAUUUAUGUAUAUUUUAGUAGGUAUACAUUACUGAACAAUCUUUUACAAAACAGGCUACAGUGUAACACUGAAAAUGCAAAAGGCAUAAACCUACUGAUGGGAUAUUCACAGUAGUGUUUUGAGCACAUAAGUGUGUUGGUUAGUAGACAGAUCUAUUCAUAUGACGCAUGUGUGUCAUUUUGAUGCAAAAAACAUUUUGGAAAGAGAAAAACGGUUUUGAAUGCAGUGUUUGCUUUUGCUAGAGCUUUGUAGAGUUUUGCAUUUUUUGGUUGUGUUUUGUGAAACUGGGCCAAAGAUUCAGCAAACGUGUAAACAAUUGUGGAAAACUGUUGCUAAGAAGCUAAUCUGACUGCCCUGCAGCACACCUUGCACUGGAUAUGACCUAAGUCUCCUCAUAGGUCAACAGACGCCUCUACUCUCUCCAUGGGUCAGACUCCACUCUAUCCAGCCCAUCUGAUCCAGUCUGACAGAAGACUUCAUUGAUUAUAUCAGAGUGAAUCAGCGACUAAGUUACUUGAGUGGUUUAGUGACACUUAUUUUUCCGCUGGUUAGUGGUUAACCUGUUGUUUGGAGAAGUCUAAUUGGCUCUGGUAGAGUGUGAUAAGGCUCUACUCCGAAUAUUCCCACUACUAGCGUACCACUUAGUUAGGAUGGAGCAGUGCAUUGGUAUGCUAGUGCAUUGGUAUGCUAGUGCAUUGGUAUGCUAGUGCAUUGGUAUGCUAGUGCAUUGGAAUGCUAGUGCAUUGGAAUGUAGACCUUGAUUGCGAAGUACAACAACUCUCUCUUGCCUUCCUCAUUAUUUUUCUCAGGAAAGUUGUGUAACAGUCCGACCAUGAAGGCUUGGGUCCACUGAAGUGUCUGGGGACAAUCCUUCAUCUGGACCUUACUAUGCUGUUAAUACAAAGAGGCCUGAAUUCCUCUGACUGUGACAAAGUCAAGUUCAUGGUCAUCAUUAUGGUCAUCUGUGGCAUACCAUUCCCACACAAAGCAGUACAAUAAUAAAGUACUGUAUGCAAUGAAGUAACUGUCCUACUGUGGGAUUAUCAAUGGUUUUCCAUUACACAUUCAGCUGUUUACUGUGAGAUGUUAGUUUACACUAAUAUUUUCACACUUAUCUUGUAUCUCUCUCUUGAAGAAUUAGGGUUUGUUUCUCAGCCAAGGGAGUGGGCUCACUCACAAUUUUGCCUAAGAACACAGCCUUGAAUAAAGAAUGGUACCAACACAUCCUCCGAGAGCAACUUCUCCCAACCAUCCAGGAACAGUUUGGUGACGAACAAUGCCUUUUCCAGCAUGAUGGAGCACCUUGCCAUAAAGCAAAAGUGAUAUGUAAGUGGCUCAGGGAGCAAAACAUCGAUAUUUUGGGUCCAAGGCCAGGAAACUCCCCAGACCUUAAUCCCAUUGAGAAUUUGUGGUCAAUCCUCAAGAGACAGAUGGACAAACAAAAACCCACAAAUUCUGAAAAACUCCAAGCAUUGAUUAUGGGCUGCCAUCAGUCAG